CUGGACGUGGUGUUGUGAUUCGGCCGCUCACUGGGCAGAAGUCGCUGUUGGGAGAGAGAGAGAGCGAGAGAGAGAGAGAGAUAGAGACAUACAGACAGAGAGAGAGAAGGGGAGAGAGACAGAGAGAGAGCAAGAGACAGACAGACAGAGGGAGAGAGAGAGUGAGAGACAGACAGACAGAGGGAGAGAGAGAGCGAGAGACAGACAGAGAGACAGAGGGAGAGAGAGAGCGAGAGACAGACAGAGAGACAGAGGGAGAGAGAGAGCGAGAGACAGAGGGAGAGAGCGAGAGACAGACAGACAGAGAGACAGAGGGAGAGAGAGAGCGAGAGACAGACAGAGAGACAGAGGGAGAGAGAGAGCGAGAGACAGACAGACAGAGAGACAGAGGGAGAGAGAGAGCGAGAGACAGACAGACAGAGAGACAGAGGGAGAGACAGAGGGAGAGAGAGAGCGAGAGACAGACAGACAGAGAGACAGGGAGAGAGAGAGAGCGAGAGAGAGACAGAGGGAGAGAGAGAGAGAGAGACAGACAGACAGAGAGACAGAGAGAGAGAGAGAGAGACAGACAGAGAGAAAGAGAUAGAGAGAUGAGGUAGAGACAGACAGACAGAGAGAAAGAGAGACAGAGAGAUGAGGUAGAGACAGACAGACAGAGAGAAAGAGAUAGAGAGAUGAGGUAGAGACAGACAGACAGAGAGAAAGAGAGACAGAGAGAUGAGGUAGAGACAGAAAGAAAAAAACGAUUGAGUUAUUAACAGAGCGAGAGAGGAGAGGAGGGCAGUUUGACCCACAAUGCAUUGCGGUGCGUUGUGACCCGCGUUGGGGCUCUCUCACUCAGUCCCAGUGUCACAUCAGCGUUCUACAGAUACACAGGUAAGAAGGCACAGACACAAGGGACUUAAGAGCCACCUUACUUUAACAUUUGAAACAUAUACCUGUUUUUGGAUUUCAACUAUUAUAUUUACUUGUAGAUAUAUUUUUUAAUUGUUCUCUGUCAAACUAUACUGCAUAUUGACAAAUAUAUGAACAAACUAUAAUGAUAACCGUACAGUGCAGUGUCAAUGAUACACUUUCAUUCUGGUGAUUUUGUGGGAUUCUGUUUUCAAAAGAGAAGAUAUUUUAUACAUUUUAUGGAACUAAAAGUCCUCUAGCCGUAUAUCUGCUACAUAGCAAAACUUUAUUUUGUAUUUUUAAAAUGUCUUAAACUUGACUUUUGUAAGGGUGUCUGUCUGCCUGUAUCCCCACACUUCUCCUGGUGUGAAGGAUUUCAGGUUGAGAUGGUGACGUUUUGUAAGGGUGUCUGUCUGCCUGUAUCCCUACACUUCCCCUGGUGUGAAGGAUUUCAGGUUGAGAUGGUGACAUUUUAAAAUGGUUUGCAACUAUUUCCCUGCUUCGAACAAGGAGUGUAACCUGCCUGGAUAUAAUAGCACACUGCACAGCCAAAUGAAGUAUAUCUUCACACAGGGUGUUUCCAUUCAUUUUCAUAUAAUCUGAGAUGAGGCCGAGGUAAGCGAUAUGCAGCUGUAUACAUGGUGUUUGCAGCUCGAGACAAUAUGGCCUCUCUGUUUCCUAAAAGGGGAAUUCAG
ensembl:lncRNA